AUUGAACGCUGGCGGCAUGCCUUACACAUGCAAGUCGAACGGCAGCACGGGGGCAACCCUGGUGGCGAGUGGCGAACGGGUGAGUAAUACAUCGGAACGUGUCCUGUUGUGGGGGAUAACCCAUCGAAAGGUGAGCUAAUACCGCAUGAUCUGGAGACAGCAAAGCAGGGGAUCGCAAGACCUUGCGCGAUUGGAGCGGCCGAUGUCCGAUAGCUAGUUGGUGGGGUAAAGGCCUACCAAGGCGACGAUCGGUAGCUGGUCUGAGAGGAUGAUCAGCCACACUGGGACUGAGACACGGCCCAGACUCCUACGGGAGGCAGCAGUGGGGAAUUUUCCGCAAUGGGCGAAAGCCUGACGGAGCAAUACCGCGUGAGGGAUGAAGGCCUUUGGGUUGUAAACCUCUUUUAUCAAGGAGAAGUUCUGACGUGUACUUGAUGAAUAAGCAUCGGCUAACUCCGUGCCAGCAGCCG
rnacentral:rRNA from 1 species